CUUAGGUGAUAGUGGCGGACGGGUGAGUAACGCGUGAGAAUCUAGCUCUAGGUCGGGGACAACCACUGGAAACGGUGGCUAAUACCGGAUAUGCCGUGAGGUAAAAGGCUUGCUGCCUAGAGAUGAGCUCGCGUCUGAUUAGCUAGUAGGUGUGGUAAGAGCGCACCUAGGCGACGAUCAGUAGCUGGUCUGAGAGGAUGAUCAGCCACACUGGGACUGAGACACGGCCCAGACUCCUACGGGAGGCAGCAGUGGGGAAUUUUCCGCAAUGGGCGAAAGCCUGACGGAGCAAUACCGCGUGAGGGAGGAAGGCUCUUGGGUUGUAAACCUCUUUUCUCAGGGAAUAAUAAUGAAGGUACCUGAGGAAUAAGCAUCGGCUAACUCCGUGCCAGCAGCCGCGGUAAUACGGAGGAUGCAAGCGUUAUCCGGAAUGAUUGGGCGUAAAGGGUCCGCAGGUGGUUCUGAAAGUCUGCUGUUAAAGAGUGAGGCUUAACCUCAUAAAAGCAGUGGAAACUACAAAGCUAGAGUGCGUUCGGGGUAGCAGGAAUUCCUGGUGUAGCGGUGAAAUGCGUAGAGAUCAGGAAGAACACCGGUGGCGAAAGCGUGCUACUAGGCCGUAACUGACACUGAGGGACGAAAGCUAGGGGAGCGAAUGGGAUUAGAUACCCCAGUAGUCCUAGCCGUAAACGAUGGAUACUAGGCGUGGCUUGUAUCGACCCGAGCCGUGCCGGAGCUAACGCGUUAAGUAUCCCGCCUGGGGAGUACGCACGCAAGUGUGAAACUCAAAGGAAUUGACGGGGGCCCGCACAAGCGGUGGAGUAUGUG
rnacentral:rRNA from 1 species